rnacentral:rRNA from 1 species
AUUGAACGCUGGCGGCAUGCCUUACACAUGCAAGUCGAACGGCAGCACGGGUGCUUGCACCUGGUGGCGAGUGGCGAACGGGUGAGUAAUACAUCGGAACAUGUCCUGUAGUGGGGGAUAGCCCGGCGAAAGCCGGAUUAAUACCGCAUACGAUCUACGGAUGAAAGCGGGGGCCCUUCGGGCCUCGCGCUAUAGGGUUGGCCGAUGGCUGAUUAGCUAGUUGGUGGGGUAAAGGCCUACCAAGGCGACGAUCAGUAGCGGGUCUGAGAGGGCGACCAGCCACACUGGGACUGAGACACGGCCCAGACUCCGACGGGAGGCAGCAGUGGGGAAUUUUGGACAAUGGGCGAAAGCCUGAUCCAGCAAUGCCGCGUGUGUGAAGAAGGCCUUCGGGUUGUAAAGCACUUUUGUCCGGAAAGAAAUCCUUGGCCCUAAUACGGUCGGGGGAUGACGGUACCGGAAGAAUAAGCACCGGCUAACUACGUG